UACGUAGGGGGCUAGCGUUGUCCGGAAUCAUUGGGCGUAAAGCGCGUGUAGGCGGUCCGGUAAGUCCGCUGUGAAAGUCGGGGGCUCAACCCUUGGAUGCCGGUGGAUACUGUCGGGCUUGAGUACGGAAGAGGCGAGUGGAAUUCCCGGUGUAGCGGUGAAAUGCGCAGAUAUCGGGAGGAACACCAAUGGCGAAGGCAGCUCGCUGGGACGGUACUGACGCUGAGACGCGAAAGCGUGGGGAGCAAACAGG
rnacentral:rRNA from 1 species